rnacentral:lncRNA from 1 species
GGCCGAGUGGUUUAAAAAGUUACUUCUGUAAUCCCUAGCUAGUCAACACUGAAGUUGUGAGUUCGACCCCCGAUGGUGCGGGUGCACUCGUUUUCAACCUGAAUUUAUCCUUUUUAAGUUGAUCUAUUUACUAUUUUUAUUCUGAAUGUCUGAAUGUCUAACCAAAAGGUUUCAAUUUUCAAGAUUUGCAGCCGAUUUCAUUGAGUG